rnacentral:sRNA from 1 species
AAUAAAUCCACUAAAAUCCGCACAUAUACCGUCACAAAGGUCAGGGUGCUCUGUUAAGUCAGGGUUGAUCGAUGGGGUAUAUGGAGGCCUAAC